rnacentral:misc_RNA from 1 species
AAAGUCGUAACAAGGUAUCCGUAGGUGAACCUGCGGAUGGAUCAUUAUCGCCUCCCAAGAUACAACCCAUGUCUGUUUGAGUACCCCUGUUUCCUCGGCGGGCGCGCCCGCCAGGACCCAAACCCUUUGCAAUUGCAGUAUCGGCCGAACAAACAAUUCAAAACUUUCAACAACGGAUCUCUUGGCUCUG